CCGGGAAACCGGACGCUAAUACCGGAUAACAUUUUGAACCGCAUGGUUCGAAAUUGAAAGGCGGCUUCGGCUGUCACUUAUGGAUGGACCCGCGUCGCAUUAGCUAGUUGGUGAGGUAACGGCUCACCAAGGCAACGAUGCGUAGCCGACCUGAGAGGGUGAUCGGCCACCCUGGGACUGAAACACGGCCCACACUCCUACGGGAGGCAGCAGUAGGGAAUNUUCCGCAAUGGACGAAAGUCUGACGGAGCAACGCCGCGUGAGUGAUGAAGGCUUUCGGGUCGUAAAACUCUGUUGUUAGGGAAGAACAAGUGCUAGUUGAAUAAGCUGGCCCCUUGACGGUACCUAACCAGAAAGCCACGGCUAACUACGUGCCAGCAGCCGCGGUAAUACGUAGGUGGCAAGCGUUAUCCGGAAUUAUUGGGCGUAAAGCGCGCGCAGGUGGUUUCUUAAUCUGAUGUGAAAGCCCACGGCUCAACCGUGGAGGGUCAUUGGAAACUGGGAGACUUGAGUGCAGAAGAGGAAAGUGGAAUUCCAUGUGUAGCGGUGAAAUGCGUAGAGAUAUGGAGGAACACCAGUGGCGAAGGCGACUUUCUGGUCUGUAACUGACACUGAGGCGCGAAAGCGUGGGGAGCAAACAGGAUUAGAUACCCUGGUAGU
rnacentral:rRNA from 1 species